rnacentral:tRNA from 1 species
CGGUGCCGGGGUGCUUGCCGAUCACGCUGCUGCCGUCGGCGUGGACCUCGGCGAGCGGGAAGCCGGGGCGGUGCACGUCGCCGUCGCCGA